ensembl:lncRNA novel transcript, antisense to FAR2
UGACUAGCAUAAUCUUGUAAAUAUACUUUGGUCAUGUUACCACAUCAUAAAUCUUCACUGGUUCUUGUUCAUUAGAAGGUAAAUUCUAAAGUUCUUGGCUUGCUAUUCAAGGUUCCUCCUUCCUGUUUUGCAAGCUACUUUUUUAUCCUUAUCAUCUCUGCACUACAGAUCCUCUGCUUCUACCAGGAUUAUACCAGAGUGCUAGAAUUCCUUGUCCCUCAGGGAUUACGACUGAAAGAAAUUUAAGAAAGUUGAAAAAAUUGAGGAGUGACUUUUUUCUAGGUUAAAUAGCAUAAUCAGGUCUCCUGCCUGUUGGGUAUUUAUAUCCCAUUAUGACAGAGUGUGGUAGAAGAAACAAAUUUGGGUUCAAAUCUGGCUCUUAGACUUACUAUGCAAUUACCAUGGGCAAGUUAUUUGCUGUGUUUAAAUCUAGAUAUCUGCCUCAUAAAAAUGGGGUAACAAAAGUAAUACUUGCCUCAUAGAGGUGUGGUGAAGUCUAAAUGAAACUGUGUUACAGGGUAGAGUAUGGAGUGCAGGACCUGUAAUGUAGUAAAUGCUCAAGAAAUGUUCAUUCUCCUCUGCACAAAUGUUAUGUCUGGUAUAAAGUCGAUGCACAGUAGGUGCUCAAUAAAUAUUAACUGACUGAUUAUA